GUCAAAAAAAAUAAAUAAAUAAAAAAUUGGAAUGAUACAGAGAUUAGCACGGCCCCUGCGCAGAUGACACGCAAAUUCGUGAAGCAUUCCAUAUUUUU
ensembl:snRNA U6 U6 spliceosomal RNA